UUUAUGGAGAGUUUGAUCCUGGCUCAGGAUGAACGCUGGCGGCGUGCCUAAUACAUGCAAGUCGAGCGAACGGACAAGGAGCUUGCUCCUUUGAAGUUAGCG
rnacentral:rRNA from 1 species